GCCAGGUGCCGUGGUGCAUACCUGUAAUCCCAGGGGCUUUGGAGGCUGAGGCAGGAGGAUCACGAAUUCAAAGUCAGCGUCAGUCAGCAAAAGUGAGGUGCUAAGCAACUCAGUGAGACCCUGUCUCUA
rnacentral:sRNA from 1 species